UGAUGGAAAUCAUUCAUUUAGCAUUUAUGACAGUACUCAUGGAAAUUGGUGGACUGGAAAACCGAAUUGGUUUUCAUCUUAUCAAGAUGUUAAGUUAGCCACUCGAAGUUGAGAUUGUCUAUGAUCGAGUGUAUGUACGUAAGUACGUAACUGUAACCAAGUGCGCAGUUGCAAAAGCUAAAAUCUCUCUGUUCGAGACGAGUACGGCAACGCUGAGGGGAAACGAAUGUCUCUCCCCUUAUAUUCAUUUGAAAUGACGUAUUUCUCCCUUGUAAAAGGGAACCAGUAUAGGGGUCCUGUGUAAGAACCAGUAUAGGGAUCGGUGUUGGUUCUAACUGGUAUUGAAGGAGUACAGCUAGGAAUAAGCUACUUUUACAAUGUAUCCACCUACUGUUAAGAAGAAAUAUUAUUAAAAAAAACCCGGGAGCCAGCCUUUCCCUCAACCCUUAUUAAAACAACAAUGAAGAUUCGACCGUCUCCGACGUCAAGUACCGGUUCCAGCUAAGGAUAGGCCAAGAAGUAUAGUAGCCUAGGCCUAUGAGGGAACCAGUAUAGGGGUCCUGUGUAAGAACCAGUAUAGGGAUCGGUGUUGGUUCUAACUGGUAUUGAAGGAGUACAGCUAGGAAUAAGCUACUUUUACAAUGUAUCCACCUACUGUUAAGAAGAAAUAUUAUUAAAAAAAACCCGGGA